AUUGAACGCUGGCGGCAGGCCUAACACAUGCAAGUCGAGCGCGCGGCGGACGGGUGAGUAAUGUAUGGGGACUGCCCGAUAGCGGGGGAUAACUACUGGAAACGGUCGCUAAUACCGCAUACUAUCGGCUAACCCAGAUGGGAUUAGCUAGGAGGUGCGGUAAUGGCUCACCUAGGCGACGAUCCCUAGCUGGUCUGAGAGGAUGAUCAGCCACACUGGGACUGAGACACGGCCCAGACGCCGACGGAGGCAGCAGUGGGGAAUAUUGCACAAUGGGCGCAAGCCUGAUGCAGCCAUGCCGCGUGUGUGAAGAAGGCCGUCGGGUUGUAAAGUACUUUCAGUCGGGAGGCGUUACCCACAGAAGAAGCACCGGCUAACUCCGUGCCAGCAGCCGCGGUAAUUC
rnacentral:rRNA from 1 species